AUGCCUCAGUAACGGCGAGUGAGCGGCAAAAGCUCAAAUUUGAAAUCCUUCGGGAGUUGUAAUUUGUAGAGGGGUGUCUUUGGGGCGGCAUUGUCUAUGUUCCUUGGAACAGGACGUCACAGAGGGUGAGAAUCCCGUGCGAUGAUGCCUCAACCAGUACAAGACCCUCUCGACGAGUCGAGUUGUUUGGGAAUGCAGCUCUAAGUGGGUGGUAAAUUCCAUCUAAAGCUAAAUACUGGCGAGAGACCGAUAGCGAACAAGUACAGUGAUGGAAAGAUGAAAAGCACUUUGAAAAGAGAGUGAAACAGUACGUGAAAUUGUUGAAAGGGAAGGGUAGGAGGUGAGGGGAAGAGCUGCUUAGGCGCGGGAGAUAAACAAGCAGGAAGCGCUUCGGUGCGGCCUGGUAAAUAUCCCGUGCUUGUGUGGUUCUUCCGUAAUCCCCUUCUACCGCCCGUCUUGAA
rnacentral:rRNA from 1 species